rnacentral:rRNA from 1 species
UACAGAGGGUGCGAGCGUUGUCCGGAAUCACUGGGCGUAAAGAGCGCGCAGGCGGUCGUCCAAGUCGCGUGUGAAAGCCCCCGGCUCAACUGGGGAGGGUCACGCGAUACUGGUCGACUCGAAGGCAGGAGAGGGUAGUGGAAUUCCCGGUGUAGUGGUGAAAUGCGUAGAUAUCGGGAGGAACACCAGUGGCGAAGGCGACUACCUGGCCUGUUCUUGACGCUGAGGCGCGAAAGCUAGGGGAGCAAACGGG